UACGGAGGGUGCAAGCGUUAUCCGGAUUUACUGGGUUUAAAGGGUGCGUAGGUGGGUCUGUAAGUCAGUGGUGAAAUCUCCGAGCUUAACUCGGAAACUGCCAUUGAUACUAUAGGUCUUGAAUUAUCUGGAGGUAAGCGGAAUAUGUCAUGUAGCGGUGAAAUGCUUAGAUAUGACAUAGAACACCAAUUGCGAAGGCAGCUCACUACACGAAUAUUGACACUGAGGCACGAAAGCGUGGGGAUCAAACAGG
rnacentral:rRNA from 1 species